rnacentral:rRNA from 1 species
UACGUAGGGUGCAAGCGUUAAUCGGAAUUACUGGGCGUAAAGCGUGCGCAGGCGGUUAUAUAAGACAGAUGUGAAAUCCCCGGGCUCAACCUGGGAACUGCAUUUGUGACUGUAUAGCUAGAGUACGGUAGAGGGGGAUGGAAUUCCGCGUGUAGCAGUGAAAUGCGUAGAUAUGCGGAGGAACACCGAUGGCGAAGGCAAUCCCCCGGACCUGUACUGACGCUCAUGCACGAAAGCGUGGGGAGCAAACAGG